CGCAGUUCUUAUUUAGAUCAUGGAAGCAAAGCCUCAGAAAUCAGGUUCACUGGAGAUCUCAUGCUGUUGUCAUCUCUCCAUUCUUCAUCUUGUUUUACUUCCUGCAGUUACCUUUACUUAGGAGGUCAGAUUGUAAGUGAUACAAAUGGCCUUUCACUCUACAGUCAUCUGGUAUCAAAUAAAUCUCUAUGAGUACAUUUCCUUUUUCUCUGGUAGCCCAUGUUUGAC
rnacentral:lncRNA from 1 species